GACGAACGCUGGCGGCGUGCUUAACACAUGCAAGUCUACGAGAAAAAGGUAGCAAUAUCUUGAGUAAAGUGGCGCACGGGUGAGUAAUAUAUAAGUAAUCUACCUAUGGAUUCGGAAUAAUCUCGCGAAAGCGGGACUAAUACCGUAUGAUGCAGCGGCACCGCAUGGUGAUGUUGUUAAAGUUGCAGCAAUGUAACGUCUAUAGAUGAGCUUGUAUCUGAUUAGCUAGUUGGCGGGAUAACAGCCCACCAAGGCUACGAUCAGUAGCUGGUCUGAGAGGAUGAUCAGCCACACUGGAACUGAGACACGGUCCAGACUCCUACGGGAGGCAGCAGUGAGGAAUAUUGGGCAAUGCCCGCAAGGGUGACCCAGCAACGCCGCGUGGAGGAUGAAUGUCGUA
rnacentral:rRNA from 1 species